CUUAUACUCCCUCCGUUCCAAAAUUCUUGUCUUAUAUUUAUCUAGAUAUGAAUGUAUCUAGUCAAAUUUUAGUAUUUAGAUACAUCCAUUCCUAGACAAAACUAAGACAAGAAUUUUGAGACGGAGGGAGUACUAA
rnacentral:pre_miRNA from 1 species